rnacentral:rRNA from 1 species
GACGAACGCUGGCGGCGUGCUUAACACAUGCAAGUCGAACGGAAAGGCCCUGCUUUUGUGGGGUGCUCGAGUGGCGAAGGGGUGAGUAACACGUGAGUGACCUGCCCUUGACUUUGGGAUAACUUCAGGAAACUGGGGUUAAUACCGGAUAGGAGCUCCUGCUGCAUGGUGGGGGUUGGAAAGUUUCGGCGGUUGGGGAUGGACUCGCGGCUUAUCAGCUUGUUGGUGGGGUAGUGGCUUACCAAGGCUUUGACGGGUAGCCGGCCUGAGAGGGUGACCGGCCACAUUGGGACUGAGAUACGGCCCAGACUCCUACGGGAGGCAGCAGUGGGGAAUAUUGCACAAUGGGCGGAAGCCUGAUGCAGCAACGCCGCGUGCGGGAUGACGGCCUUCGGGUUGUAAACCGCUUUCGCCUGUGACGAAGCGUGAGUGACGGUAAUGGGUAAAGAAGCACCGGCUAACUACGUG